UUUUUAUAUUGACUGUUUUUUUUUUACACUAACGUGUGUGCUAGCUAAGCCCAUAUUUGCGUUCGUGCGGUUCUGCAAUAUCGAUAUAGGAGGCGUCGUGCGGCCGGCGGCGAACGGCGAGCAGCUGCAGUUGGAACUCCGGCGACCGCCUAGGGCUGCAGCUGGGUAUUGAGGCGGGCGGCGAGCUGCUGCGUGGUGAGCGGCCUCGCCAAGCGGCGGGAGUCCUCAGCGGCGUUCUCGUGGUCGGAUGCGUUGAGAACUGCGGCGGAUUGCAGCCAACCUCCAGAUCCCGUCGAAGUAUGUACUCUGGAGGCGGGCUCGUCGCGGCGGGAGGCAGCCGGCUCGCGUAUGUACUCUGGAGUAAUUGAACUCUCUUCGUGCUCUUGCUACUAAUGUCCCCCCAAUUUUAUGCAUACUUGAUUAGUUGAUUGCUUCCUGUUUUAAUUUUUUCUUGCGCCUGCUGAUUAUUUGGAUCCAUAGGAAAUUCCGAUCUGUACGAGCUGCGUCGGCAAAUAUACAAUAUUAUCAGUGAUCCGUACGCGUGUAUUCUUGCUUACUACUCUGCUCGUCAGUGCCUUGUGUGUUGUUUCUUGGAACUGGCCUGCUUUUUCCUUGUACCAGAGCAGAGCUGGGGCAAUAUCUUGUCUAGCUCCGGUUCUAUGCGAAAUAGAAUUCUGAAUUCAAUUGUACGAGUGCUCUAGUGCACCUUAGUCCAUAGAUUGUCUUGGCAAUAAAUGAAUGGAAUUACUUGUUGUGUUAAUGCGUGUGCAGAAGAUGGUAUUUUACUGUCCUAUUUGUGUUGGCCUUGUGUGGCCGUAGGUCGCAAUUGUUUCUUACCUUUUUAUUCAGAUUUUUUGUUAAAACCAUGCUGCUUCAGAUAGAUUUGUGUAGACUGUUUUCUGCAGACUAUGCUUCUCACUUUUAGGAUAAAUUAGCCGAUUUAUCAUUCGUUUUAGAAUGACCUGAGAAACUCGUAUUCCAUGAUGAGGGUUAACUUUCCAAUACGUUUAAUCAACACAAAUACUGAAAUUCAUGGCAUAGUUGCAUUAUGAAGAAUGUUCUUGCUGAUCAAACUAAUGUUUAUAAUUGAUUUGAGUUUAUAUAUUUUCUACUGAUCCAUCUGAAUGGACUAUUUUUGCAUUUGGUACCCAGCGAGUAGCUCAUCAACUAGUGCUCCUUAAUUACUGAUGGUUGGGUUUUCAGUCAGAGAUACGAACAAUUUUUGUGGAUAGUCAGUUAUUAUGCAGCAUCAGAACUCCGCCUUAAUUAUUGUUGCUGAUUUAAAUCAACUAAUUAUUGUUGCUGAUAUAAAUCAACUCAACACUGGUGAGAGGCUGCUUGGAGAUGUAACUUCUUUUUAUCAUGUAGCUGCUUUGGUUCCAUGUUAAAGGUUCUUCUGCUGCUGCUGGCGCUGCAGCAUCGUCUGACGUCUGUUGCUCGUGGUGCUGCGGGUGUAUCUGCGGGCGGUUGUAGGAGGCUUCGAGGCGGCGGGAUUGUCGCGACGGGAGGCAGCAAUUCUCCUUCUUGCUACCGAUGUGCUACUCGCGCCAUUACAGAGGUUUCAGUCAACAUCAGCUAGAACGCCAGUAAGAAACGUCCUAUCUCUGGCAAAAAGAUCCCCUCGACGCUCUAACCAGCUCGAGAUCCAUGCUCCGGGCUCUCCCCGAUGUAUGGAGGUACUGUCGUACUGAGCAGCCCAUAAAAAAUCUAAUUGCUAUUUCUAUGAUUUUUUUGCUGGGUUAGUUCAGCAGGCAAAUUGUAGAGACUGUGAACAUAGUCUAAUGUCAUAUCUUUGCAGUGCAAAUCUUGUUCCUUAAUUAGCGAUGCAAACUAGCGGUGGCUUCAGUUUCCUUGUCUGCGUUUUCUUUUGCAAUAGGCAAAUCCUAGUUUGUAAAUUGUUUAGGCGAUACAAAAUGGAAGAACUUGAAGUUUGGGUAGAUACUUGUCAAUUCAUUUGUUGAGGAAUAAAAGAUUAUCAAUUAAUUAAAUGCUGAAUUUUGUACUUCAGAAAUAGCUAGCUCUCUCCCUGCAAAAGAGAAAUUAGCUAGCUCUCAUAUAAAUAUUUGUAUUUAGAACUUCCGGCAAUUCUAGAUUAUGAUAGUGUCUAAUUGUGUUUGUGCCUUCUUAUGCCCGAUAUAUUCCAAUCAACAUGAUGUAGUUACUUUUUUGUUUGUUCUUAUGCCUGAACAUACUUUUGUACUUGUUUAGAUUUUCAAUAUUUGCUUCUUGUAAUUACAAUUAUGUAUCAUUAAUUGUCUUAUCUUGCGUGCAUAGAAGAAACUUGUGAAAUUACAUCACUUAGCACGUUAGUUAUGUUCAGAAUAAUGUCAACUAAAACAUUUGUUUCUUCUUUAGACUCCACAUACCAAGAGUGAUUACUGCAUCAGAUGUCAAGAUUCUCCUAAAGCUACCAUGAAGAUCCUCCCAUGCCUUCAUAAGGUACAUGUGACACUGUUGCCUGAAUGAUGACAUUCAAUUUCAGGGUCUGCAUGAUUUAUGGUGUGCUCUAAGUGGAGUUACCGAUAGGUGGUCAUAACAUGUAAGUUUUUGCCUGUGCUGGAUGCCGUAUACCAAUACAUCGUAAUAACAUAAUAAUUAUUCAAAAUGAAAAGGUCGUUUUGGUGCCUCAUUGCUUCUUGCCUAAAAAAGAAAAGAAAAAUAUUCAUUUCCUAGUUUGGACUAGUACUUUAAAAAGAAGUUUCCUUGGGACUGUCUGAAAACCAGUGAUGUAGUAUCAAGAUGGUCAUUGCAUUGUCGUAAGUGUUUGUUCGAAUUUGGUUAGAUCACUAAAAAAUUCUGGUUAGCAAAAUUUUGUUAGAACUACAUCCCAAAAUGCAGAGCCAUGUGACCUGGUUGGUGUGGCUCGUACCAUCUUAGCAGUUAUGGUAAUCGUUUUACCUCGACAAUUUUUAUUUCGCCAGUUGUGGGAUUGGGAGCGUACCCAGCCGCACCCAAUUUUCUUCCUGUUGGGUUUCUAAUUGUGGCACCGACAUGCGCGGUUUGGAAAUUGGAAACUGAGGCAUGACGACGGCUGCGAGCGGCCGACGGACGACAGGCGGACUUGGUGGCCGGGUGAGUGGCGCGUGGCUCUGCGCUCUCGAUGUCCUCGGUGGGGCCCCUGGUCGGCUGGUGGAAUAGGCGUCGUCGGCGGCAGUUGUAUCGGUGGCGUGAACUGCUCUCAACUAAGCAAGCCUGGCAAUUUUGGCAAAUGGAAAGGAUUCAGCAUCUCGUUCGGUGGCUUUCGCUCCACAGAUUACCAUGCCAUUUGGAGAAUGUAAUUUGUUACUUAGAAUAAUUCCAGUAUUUAUCUUUUCCGUAAAUAAGGCAAACAGUUCUCAUAGACACGUUUGUGCAUCACUGUGUCUUACUACGUAUUUACAAUGCCCCGGAGUAUGGAAUGUAAUGUAUUGGAGUUCUUUAUGUAUACACAGUUGUAAUUUACGUCA